rnacentral:lncRNA from 1 species
UGCUUGAAGAAUCUUUUCUCAUUUUUUCCAGACUUUGGAACUAAGUCUUUUUUUCAGAAAAAAUUGUGAAAGAGGAUACAAGGUGUGUGUACUCAAUUUCUCCUACAGUUGGAGACCCACAGCAAUACCAUACAUUUGCAUCAAGACAACCCCAAUUGUUGACAUAAACUGCAAUAUAUUUUGAUUAACAUUAAUGUUCAUUACAUAUAAGCCUCAUAUUCAGG